AAAAAGCACCGGCUAACUACGUGCCAGCAGCCGCGGUAAUACGUAGGGUGCAAGCGUUAUCCGGAAUUAUUGGGCGUAAAGAGCUCGUAGGCGGUUUGUCGCGUCUGCUGUGAAAUCUGGGGGCUCAACCCCCAGCCUGCAGUGGGUACGGGCAGACUAGAGUGCGGUAGGGGAGAUUGGAAUUCCUGGUGUAGCGGUGGAAUGCGCAGAUAUCAGGAGGAACACCGAUGGCGAAGGCAGAUCUCUGGGCCGUAACUGACGCUGAGGAGCGAAAGGGUGGGGAGCAAACAGGCUUAGAUACCCUGGUAGUCCACCCCGUAAACGUUGGGAACUAGUUGUGGGGUCCAUUCCACGGAUUCCGUGACGCAGCUAACGCAUUAAGUUCCCCGCCUGGGGAGUACGGCCGCAAGGCUAAAACUCAAAGGAAUUGACGGGGACCCGCACAAGCGGCGGAGCAUGCGGAUUAAUUCGAUGCAACGCGAAGAACCUUACCAAGGCUUGACAUAUACGAGAACGGGCCAGAAAUGGUCAACUCUUUGGACACUCGUAAACAGGUGGUGCAUGGUUGUCGUCAGCUCGUGUCGUGAGAUGUUGGGUUAAGUCCCGCAACGAGCGCAACCCUCGUUCUAUGUUGCCAGCACGUUAUGGUGGGAACUCAUGGGAUACUGCCGGGGUCAACUCGGAGGAAGGUGGGGAUGACGUCAAAUCAUCAUGCCCCUUAUGUCUUGGGCUUCACGCAUGCUACAAUGGCCGGUACAAUGGGCUGCAAUACCGUGAGGUGAGCGAAUCC
rnacentral:rRNA from 1 species